GCCUGACACUAGCACAUGGCUUCUUGCAGUAAUGAAAAUUGAGUGACAUGGCAAACUUUGUUGACCACAUGUCAGGCAUACUGAGUAGCUUUCUCCGCCUUGUCUGGCCAUGAUUUUUCUUUCUGGGGGUUACAUGCAUGCUUAGGCAAGGCUGGAACACUCUUUCUGCCUCAUCAAUUGGAUGAUUAACUGCUGUUUUUCUCCAGGACUCAGCUCAGG
rnacentral:lncRNA from 1 species